GUGUACGGCCAUGCUACCCUGAACAAGCCCGAUCCCGUCUAAUCUUGGAAGCUGAGCCGGGUCGGGCCUGGUUAUUACUUGGAUGGGAGACCAGGAAGACCAGGUGCUAUAGGCA
rnacentral:rRNA from 1 species